rnacentral:lncRNA from 1 species
CAUGAUGAUGAGAUGCACGUUGAAUCUGUGCCUCUAUAAGGGUGUUUUAGAGGUGCGAAGUUUUUGUGUCAUCUUAAUCUGUUUGAUGCAGUACUGAUGCCACGAUUUAACCCACGAUAAAGAGAACAGGCAAUAGGACAUUAAAUGCUGUAUAGCGACCUCAAGUCGUUGCAAAUGCAUUUAACUGCAAUGUACGCACCACACAACUUCUACAUGAACGCCACAAUGCAACAAACAGUACAAAUGACCGUUCA